ACAAUGGAGAGUUUGAUCCUGGCUCAGGAUGAACGCUAGCGGGAGGCCUAACACAUGCAAGCCGAGCGGUAGAGAUCUUUCGGGAUCUUGAGAGCGGCGUACGGGUGCGGAACACGUGUGCAACCUGCCUUUAUCAGGGGGAUAGCCUUUCGAAAGGAAGAUUAAUACCCCAUAAUAUAUUGAGUGGCAUCACUUGAUAUUGAAAACUCCGGUGGAUAGAGAUGGGCACGCGCAAGAUUAGAUAGUUGGUGAGGUAACGGCUCACCAAGUCUACGA
rnacentral:rRNA from 2 species